rnacentral:rRNA from 1 species
UACGGAGGGUGCAAGCGUUAUCCGGAUUCACUGGGUUUAAAGGGUGCGUAGGCGGAUAGGUAAGUCCGUGGUGAAAUCCUGCAGCUUAACUGCAGAACUGCCGUGGAUACUAUCUAUCUUGAAUGUCGUGGAGGUUAGCGGAAUAUGUCAUGUAGCGGUGAAAUGCUUAGAUAUGACAUAGAACACCCAUUGCGAAGGCAGCUAACUACGCGAUAAUUGACGCUGAUGCACGAAAGCGUGGGGAGUCGAA